rnacentral:rRNA from 1 species
CAAUGGCCGGUACAAUGGGCUGCCAAGGGGCGACCCGGAGCUAAUCCCAUAAAGCCGGUCUCAGUCCGGAUUGUAGGCUGCAACUCGCCUGCAUGAAGUCGGAGUUGCUAGUAACCGCAAGUCAGCACGUUGCGGUGAAUAUGUUCCCGGGCCUU